GAGUUUGAUCCUGGYUCAKAACGAACGCUGGCGGCGUGCCUAACACAUGCAAGUCGAACGGGACGAGGGGCUUGCUCCUCAUUUAGUGGCGCACGGGUGAGUAACGCGUAGAUAAUCUGCCUGAUGAUUCGGGAUAACACCKCGAAAGGGGUGCUAAUACCGGAUAAGCCCACGGUUUCUUUGGAAUCUGCGGGAAAAGGGGGGGACCUUCSGGCCUUCUGUCGUCAGAUGAGUCUGCGUACCAUUAGCUAGUUGGUAGGGUAAUGGCCUACCAGGGCUACGAUGGUUAGCUGGUCUGAGAGGAUGAUCAGCCACMCUGGAACUGARACACGGUCCAGACUCCUACGGGAGGCAGCAGUGGGGAAUUUUGGACAAUGGGCGCAAGCCUGAUCCAGCCAUGCCGCGUGAGUGAAGAAGGCCUUCGGGUUGUAAAGCUCUUUCAGCCGGAAAGAAAUUGCUUCUAUUAAUACUAGGAGUAGAUGACGGUACCGGAAGAAGAAGCUCCGGCUAACUACGUGCCARCAGCCGCGGWAAUAC
rnacentral:rRNA from 1 species